rnacentral:rRNA from 1 species
AUUGAACGCUGGCGGCAGGCCUAACACAUGCAAGUCGAACGGUAGCACAGAGAGCUUGCUCUCGGGUGACGAGUGGCGGACGGGUGAGUAAUGUCUGGGAAACUGCCCGAUGGAGGGGGAUAACUACUGGAAACGGUAGCUAAUACCGCAUAACGUCGCAAGACCAAAGUGGGGGACCUUCGGGCCUCACACCAUCGGAUGUGCCCAGAUGGGAUUAGCUAGUAGGUGGGGUAAUGGCUCACCUAGGCGACGAUCCCUAGCUGGUCUGAGAGGAUGGCCAGCCAAACUGGAACUGAGACACGGUCCAGACUCCUACGGGAGGCAGCAGUGGGGAAUAUUGCACAAUGGGCGCAAGCCUGAUGCAGCCAUGCCGCGUGUAUGAAGAAGGCCUUCGGGUUGUAAAGUACUUUCAGCGGGGAGGAAGGCGGUGAAGUUAAUAACUUCACCGAUUGACGUUACCCGCAGAAGAAGCACCGGCUAACUCCGUGCCAGCAGCCGCCGUAA